UACGAAGGGGGCUAGCGUUGCUCGGAAUCACUGGGCGUAAAGCGCACGUAGGCGGAUUGCUAAGUCAGGGGUGAAAUCCUGGAGCUCAACUCCAGAACUGCCCUUGAUACUGGCGGUCUCGAGUCCGGAAGAGGUGAGUGGAACUGCGAGUGUAGAGGUGAAAUUCGUAGAUAUUCGCAAGAACACCAGUGGCGAAGGCGGCUCACUGGCCCGGUACUGACGCUAAGGUGCGAAAGCGUGGGGAGCAAACAGG
rnacentral:rRNA from 1 species